rnacentral:rRNA from 1 species
AACGAACGCUGGCGGCAGGCCUAACACAUGCAAGUCGAGCGAGGACUUCGGUCCUAGCGGCGGGCGGGUGAGUAACGCGUGGGAACGUGCCCCUUGGUACGGAAUAGCCCCGGGAAACUGGGAGUAAUACCGUAUGAGCUCUACGGAGGAAAGAUUUAUCGCCAAGGGAUCGGCCCGCGUUGGAUUAGGUAGUUGGUGGGGUAAUGGCCUACCAAGCCGACGAUCCAUAGCUGGUUUGAGAGGAUGAUCAGCCCCACUGGGACUGAGACACGGCCCAGACUCCUACGGGAGGCAGCAGUGGGGAAUCUUAGACAAUGGGCGCAAGCCUGAUCUAGCCAUGCCGCGUGAGCGAUGAAGGCCUUAGGGUUGUAAAGCUCUUUCAGCUGGGAAGAUAAUGACUGUACCAGCAGAAGAAGCCCCGGCUAACUCCGUGCCAGCCGCCGCCGUAA